rnacentral:hammerhead_ribozyme from 1 species
AUCCUGCUGACGAGUCCCAAAUAGGACGAAACGCGCGUCCUCGAU